UACGGAGGAUGCGAGCGUUAUCCGGAUUUAUUGGGUUUAAAGGGUGCGUAGGCGGAUUGAUAAGUUAGAGGUGAAAUGUCCGAGCUCAACUCGGAAACUGCCUCUAAUACUGUUGAUCUAGAGAGUAGAUGCGGUAGGCGGAAUGUAUGGUGUAGCGGUGAAAUGCUUAGAGAUCAUACAGAACACCGAUUGCGAAGGCAGCUUACCAAUCUAUAUCUGACGUUGAGGCACGAAAGCGUGGGGAGCAAACAGG
rnacentral:rRNA from 1 species